rnacentral:rRNA from 1 species
AUCUACAGCCAUAUCCCCUGAAUGUGUCCGAUCUCGUCUGAUUUUGGAAACUAAACGGAUCAGGCCUGGUUAGUAUUUGGAUGGGAGACCACCUAGGAAUACCAGGUGCUGUAGGCA